rnacentral:lncRNA from 10 species
CAAGGCUUUUGAUGCGCAAUACCCCCUUACUCUCCAGAAAGACGUUAUCAGUAUGUGCUCCACCAGCCUCGUGCAGUGCGAGAGAUGCCUGUUCAUCCCUCCCCACCCCUCCAACAAUGGCUAUUAUCAGGGCUUUAAAUCUUGCCCAUCUGAUCGAUGGAAUACUAGUAGCUCCUUGCUAUUUUCAUGUGCAUCGUUUUUAGUGAAUAACUGUUUAUAAACUUAUGGUCAAAUGAAGUGUUAGUUGGGCAACUUUAGGGACAUUUCAUGAAGCCCUUGGGGAUUAUAGGUGUCCAGAAAGCAACUUUGGAAUCAUGGCUUUGAUGCAUUGCUUUGCUCAUUAAUGAGAUC